GAUGAACGCUGGCGGCGUGCCUAAUACAUGCAAGUCGAGCGAAGCGGGGACGGGUGAGUAACACGUGGAUAACCUCCUAUAAGACUGGGAUAACUUCGGGAAACCGGAGCCAAUACCGACACUUAUAGAUGGUUCCGCGCUGGAUUAGCUAGUUGGUAAGGUAACGGCUUACCAAGGCAACGAUGCAUAGCCGACCUGAGAGGGUGAUCGGCCACACUGGAACUGAGACACGGUCCAGACUCCUACGGGAGGCAGCAGUAGGGAAUCUUCCACAAUGGGCGAAAGCCUGACGGAGCAACGCCGCGUGAGUGAUGAAGGUUUUCGGAUCGUAAAGCUCUGUUGUUAGAGAAGCGGUAUCUAACCAAAAAGCCACGGCUAACUACGUGCCAGCAGCCGCGGUAAUAC
rnacentral:rRNA from 1 species